CUGAUACCACCCAAAUCAUCUCUUAAUAGAGAAGAAAUGAUCAGGUCAGUGAAGAAUCUGCAAUGUUCAGUGGGUGCCAGUUGUGAGAAUAAGGAAUGAGUUCCCUGAGGAGAGAAGAAGCUUGCCCAGAGCUGUUGUUACAGGGCUCUGUUGCAGGUCUUUUCUCAUCAACUAAUGGAAGCCCCGCCAGUAGCCCUG